rnacentral:miRNA from 1 species
AGCUGUCUGUGUUUUCCUUCUCAG